AUUUUUUUCCUCUGAGUUCUCUCAAGUUUCUUUUUGCUAACUGUAUUCUUGGAUUCUUCAAAUUUUGAGUUUUCUCCCUGUAUUUCAAAUAUAACUGAAAUCAUGCAGCUGCGAAUGUCAUUUUUGUAAAUUCUAUUGACUUAAUUUCCCCAUCUCUAACUUCUUUUUUUUGGCAAGCUACAAAUCUAAACUUUAAAAAGGCAAUUGAAGCUAUUACAGUCCAGUGAACGGUAAGAAGUUGAUGGGAAAUCUCUAGGCUUUUACUUCAGGAGUUUGGCUUUCAAAAUUGUGUUCAUGUUCAUAGGGUUCACCUGGAAAGGUUUUUUUUUUCCUUAAGAUUUGACACUAAGAAACAUUUUUUCUAAAGAUUUUCCACCAAUAAAAAAAGCUUCUUCCACAAUAUAAGCCAUUGCAGUGAAAUGUGUAGUCAUUAUAGGUUUAGAGUUUCAGGUUGUAUUUGAAAAUUAUUUAAUUGGAAUAUUUAAUCCUCUUUUUUUCCUAAUUCUUGCUAAAUCUACUAAGAAGUAUGGGCAUUCAGAUUCAUGUUUCACACAUUUAUCUCUGUGUUCUCACUUGCUGCAGACUCCCUUUCCAUUUUCCUGCACGAGGGAGGGAUUUGAAUAAAGGGUCUAUUGACAUUGUGGCAAUCCCUUUCAUAAGGAUGUACCUCCAUUAUCUUUUUAUUUUCAAAGAUGUUUUUCUUAAACUCAAAUGUUUCUGACUUGAGGUGUUGCAACUUUUAAUGAAGAAAUUUGUUUGUACACUUUUAGCCUUGCUUGAAGAAUAGUAUUUUGUUUGUUCUUCCUUGCGGGUUGAAUGUCGGUAACUAAUGGGAAGUCGAUGAUGAAGUUUGAGAUUUGGUGCAUUCCAAAAAGAAACCAUGUUUGAUGAAAGCAAGCUAGGAAUAGAGCCUUAUGCAAUUCAGGUGUAAGUUCUGAAGACCUUGAGAGCAAUUGAAGGUGAAACAAUAGCAGUAUCAAAUGUACAAAUUAUUUAGUGACUCAGUCAGUCAAGGGCCAUUUAUUCUAAGGUAGGAUAUUCCGUUGAAGAAGUAGAAGAGGUGAAGGCAUUUGUUCCAGAGUCUGUUCGGGAAAAGCGAAAGGGAAGAGGGAAGAGGAAGAGUGGAAAAGUAGGAGCUCGAAGCUGCUAAGAAGAAAAGAGUCGAGAGUCGUACACUGAUCUACAGCAAGGCUAAGUAGUAUGCCAAGGAGUGCAAUGAGCAGGAAAAAGAAUUGAUUUGAUUGAAAUGUGAGGAAAAGCUGAAAUGUUGAUUUUAUGAUGAUCCUAAUGCUAAGCUCUUAUUUUUAUUUGCAUAUGUGGUAUUAAUCCCAUGCAUCCUAAGACAAGGAGGAUCUUGCAACUAUUGAGAUUGAGACUGAAUUUUGGUGAGACCUUAUCCAUUAGAUCAUGACUAUUGGGCCUCAUUUUAAUGAGGCAAACAACCUUCCUUUGGCCAUUUAAGCUAAAGGUUUUUUUGGCGCGCUUAAAGAAGAAGAGGAACCACUAUGUUGAAGGAGGUGAUGCCGGGAUCAAGAAGAAUUAUGUCAAUGUGCUAACCAGUGCAUGAAUUAAGCAGUGGCAAUGUCUAGAGAUUGGCUUUAGAACAAGAUUAGACAUUUUCAUAUUUGAAAAUAGCACUUUGCUGGCUUUUAAAAAUUAUUUUGCUACCAUUGAAUUUUUUUUCAUAUUUUAGGUUUAAGUGAUGAGUUUCAUUUGAUAAUAUAUGUUUAUGAACAUUAAUAAUAUAAAUAUGAAAACUAUUGGCUAGAA